ACCUUGUGCCUGCAGACCCACCUCCUGUGGCCCCCCCCACCCCUGUCCCUCAGGGCCCCCUUUCCACGCCCACCUUGUAUGGCCCCAGCUCUGAGGCCAUGGCUUUGGUGAGCAUGGUCAUUGCACCCUUGGUAGAGCCUGUGGAGGGAGGGCAGUGCUGAGGACACUUAGGGAUUCAGCCUUCUUUGCACAGAGGCUAAGCCUGGAGCCCAGCAUCUCCUGCAUGGAAUGUGGGGGGCGGGGCUACAGGCUGGGCAGAGGGACUCACUGUAGACAGAUAAGUUGGGGAAGGUGACAUGGGCCACCAUGCUGGAGACAUUGACGAUGGAGCCAGGCACUCCACGGUGGAUCAUGCCCCGGGCCACAAUCUAGAAGCCAAGAGAGGGGCAAUCUGACCCCACCGUGCUCCCACCUGGGCCUUGUUAUCGCUGGGCCUUGUCCUCCCCCUGGCUCACCUGGGAUACCUGGACCACCGAGCGCAAGUUCACGUUGAAGGCCCUGGGGGAGGGGCAUAGAGUCAAGUGCGUGGCCACAUCUGCCCCACGAUCUCAGCAACCCUGCCCCAGUCUACCAGCUCUCCUACUCCCCACCUGUCGAAGGCCUCCUUGGUGACCUCCAGGAAGGGCUGCAGCAGCGCCACGGCAGCGUUGUUCACCAGCAGGUCCACAGGGCCCACGCUGCCCAGCGCCCGCUCCGUGGCCUCCCAGUCACCCAGGUCCACACACACGGUCUCUAUCCCAGGGCACUGUGGAGAAGCAUUGGCUGGUGACCAAAGGAGGUGGUCCCAGCAGGCUCACAAAGGUGUGUGGGAGCAGGCUCUGGCCCUGGCGCUGGGGGUGAGGGGGUGGGGUGGAGGUUAUGUGCCUCACCUCCUUGGAGAGGCUGACCAGGUCAGUGUUGGUGCGGCUCACGGCUAACACUCUGGCUCCCAGGCCAUGCAGGGCCUUCACAGUGUCUCUCCCGAUCCCUGCAGGGGUGCAGUGGGUGAGCAGAUGGCUCAGUACAUGUAGCUCAAGGCUGAGGGCCAGGGCUGCAGCCCCUUUCACUGAGGAAAGAACAAGGUGCUGGCCAGAGGAUGGACACCAUGGGGCAAGAGGCCGUCUGAGUCAGAAUCUCUGCCAGCCAGGAUCUGACCACGGGAGGCCCCGGAGAGCAGCUCCUUCCCACUGGGCCGGGGGAAGAGGUCCCAGAUGGAUCUCUGAGCCUGAGGGCCACUAUCUAGGGGCGGGGGACUUGCUUGCACUGACCAGGGAGUGGCCAGUGUCCUGUUCCAACACAGCCUGCUAGGUGGUGGACAUCAGCCUGGGCUCAGGUCCAGGGGCUGCUAGGAGUGCAGGGGGGCGAUAAUUGCUGGCGGGGCGGUCUGUGACAGGCAUGCAGGGACUCCCAGGAUCCCCAACACAGGCCUGUGAGGCUUCAGGGAAGACCCCACCUUCCUCUCCAGCUCAGCCCCUCCCGCACCCUCACCUGCUCUACACAUACCCACCUUUCCCUGCCCCUGUCACCAGGGCCUGCAGGCCGCUGAAAUUCAGCUGCAUGGUGCUCACUCAGAGCCUCCCUCCAGCGGGAGAGGAAGGCAUGGAGGUUUUAAAGGCCUGGGGCGGGCCGUUGUGGGGGCGUUGAGGAAGGAGGGCUGGGGGCACAGGGUGGGGCAUCACAGCAGCUCUGUUUCCUUGUUCACAGGAAUCUUCUUUUUUUAAUAUUUUAUUUACUUGACAGAGAGAGAGCUUGUGGGUGUGAAAGAGCACAAGUAGGGGGAAGGGCAGAGGAGGAGGGAGAAGCAGGCUCCCUGCUGAGCAAGGACACUGGGCUGAUCCCAGGACCUUGUUCAUGACCUGAGCCGAAGGCAGACGCUUCACCACUGUUCACAGGAAUCUGCUGCCCUCCUCACCCAUACCUCACAGGUGCCCGAGGAGCCACUGAUCCCUGUGGCUUCUGAUGGGGAUGAGCCGGGGGCAUGUCCUGAGCGCCUCCCAGUCCUGUGCAAGGGGCCUUGUGGGACCAAAGCCACCGUCCGGAGGUCCUGCGUUCAGGGCACAUGAACACCCCCGCCAGGCCCUCCAGGUGUGGCCCGGACAUGCAGGUGAGCCCUGCCGCCUCUCCCUCCCUCAGACCUGGCCAGAUACCAGGUGCAGCCCCAGCAAGACAGGCUCCUGUCCUGAGAGCCAUCCUGCGUCUCUGAGACCCCUGAACUCCAGAGCACCCAGGUGGGCUUGCCUUGGGGGUAGAAGGUUGGCAACCCUCACCCUGGGUAUGACACAGCACAUUCCAUCUGGCUUUCUUCCCAGAUACUUGUUAGAAAUUCAUCUCCAAGGGUGCCAGCUGUGGGGGUGGAAGGCUGAAUCUGUCCCGUGCCCGGCAGGCCCCAUUAUGCACUGAGGGCUGGCUGGGAAGCGCGACCUUUGCUACAGCUAAGCCUUCGCCAACCAUGGGACCCUCAGGUGUAAACCCAGAUCCCCAGCACGGAGUGCCCCUGCCCCACCCCUGCCAGAGGCCCCGCAGCUGGCUUCCACGUGGCCUGGGGGACAGCCCCCACCCUCCGCCCGCCCCUUGCCUGAUCUGUGCACAGAAGUCCCUCUGGGAGCCUUCUCCCAAACACCUGCAGGUUAAAAACAUCUCCCUGCUUUCAUUAACCCACACCCCAAAUCAGAACCCAGCAGCAGGUGCCCCUCUCCUCCACGGUCACCACCAAGUUCCUGACACGUUCCAAAUGUUACAGAUAGUUUUUGAGAUAAUUCAGAAUUACAAGGAUGCCAGAGUCUCCUCCCCCUAAACCAUCUGAGAGUAAAACACACCCUGUCACCUCCAAGUAGCUUCAUGUCUGCUUCUUUCAAACACAGAUGUUAUCCUGCACAAGCACAGCACAUGCUUGUGCACAUGCACACACACACGAUAGCCGGGAGUCUAGCAGCACGUGUCACUAGCUCCCAUCCAGGUCUCGUUAACUAGCCCAGUGAUGUUCUUUUUAAAAAGAACGGCUUCCUCGAGAUUUAACUGAUAGGCACUGUGAAGUGACAAAAACUCACCUGAGUACAUUUGCAAGAUCUAAUUGGGUUUCUCAGUCAAUUUGUGGAUUAGGCAUCUUCCCACCUAGGGGAGUAGAGAGAGGCCCCGCUGAGCAGCAGGAAAGGACACAUUUUUGUUUAUUUUUUAUUUAUUUAUUUUUAAAGGUUUUAUUUAUAUUUAUUCAUGAGAGACAGAGACACAAGGCAGAGGGAGAAGCAGGGUCCCUGCAGGGAGCCCAAUGUGGGACUCAAUCCCAGGACCCUGGGAUCACGCCCUGGGUGGAAGGCAGAGCCACCCCAGGUCUCAAGGACAGGUUUUCAAAGGAAGAGAGGGAACGGGAGAAGGCAAGGCGAAGGCAAGGCGGCCUCCGGGAGGGGGGGGGGGUGGAGCGGGGUUUCUCAGUUUGCUUCCGAGCGCUGCCGGGCUGUGCCCAGGUCCACUGGGUCAGGGGUCUCUGUCUUCAGUGACUGCAGUUUGGGCUGAUGGUUUUGAGCAACACUGAACGGAUACACCUGGGGGCCUUGGCAAAGGGCGGUGAACCGGUCACUGCAAUCAAGGCCAUCAACAGGCCCACCCCCUGCGCAGGCGUCCUGGUGGCUCGGCCGUCCCUGGACCUCACUCCUCUUGCCUGGAUCCCCCGUGUCAGUUCUGUGCAGGAGAAGCAUCCAGAGCAGGCUCCCCCUGGGUUUGGGGCUGCCUGGUCUCUCAUCUCCCUCACUGGGAACCCUCCUCAGUCUUUCCUUGACCUUUAUGACCUUGACAUUUCUGAAGACUGCAGGUCAGUUCUUUUUUUUUUUUCUUUCUUUCUUUGAGAGACCGCAUGCAGGGGGCAUGGGGAGGAGGAGGGAGGAGGCAGGCUCCCCGUGGAGCAGAGCCCAACGAUGCAGGCUGCAGGACCCGAUCCCAGGACCCCGGGAUCAUGACCUGAGCCACCUGAGCCCCCCGGGUGCCCCAGAGGUCAGUUCUUUGGUAGAAAGUCCCUCAGCUGGGCCUGCCCCGUGUUCCGUCGUGAGUAGACGCUGUGGGUCUCCGUCAGAGGCAGCGGGGAGAGGCCCGGGUCUCACGGAUGGAAGGUGGUGGGACUGGGGUGUCAGCUCUGACCACCGCAGGCGCAGCGUCGUCCUCCCACUUCACAUCUGUCCUCAGCGCCUCGGCAAGCAUCCCCUGUGGCCACGCUGUCUCCGAGGCGCCAGAGAGGACUCGGGUCUGGGCCCCGUGGGCUGUCCACCCACCCAGGGGGACGGGCCACAGCACGUCUGACUUCACUUCCAGGUAAGGCCGCCCUGGCACCGGAGCUGGGGCGGGAGCGGGACGGGAGGGAGAAGCGCCCGCGUGGACACCCGCCCGGCCCGGCCCCCACCCUCUGACUGUGCCCAGCUCUGCGGCCCAGCGCGGUGGCCACACGUCAUGGCCACACGUCAUGGCCACACGUCGUCCUGGGGGAUCGGCGCCCCGCUGGCCCUCCCCACCCCCACCCCGCCGCUCUCUGGGGCAGAGGAGCCGCCGUGACCUUCCCUCCCCGCCUUGCGGAGGAGCAGCCGCCCGCAUCCGCCCUUCGUGCCCUUCGUGCCACGGCCUUGCAGGCGGUGGGCGGCGGCGGCUGUGCGACCCGGUGCCCCCCGAUGCCCGAGGGCGGAGGCCUACGCCAGGCUGCCCUCUCCGCUCUGUGUGCCCUCCACCCUCGGCGCCGCUCCCAGCCCGUUGUCCCCACACGGAGUCCCGCACACCCGUCCCCAAAGUCACGCUGCUACUUGGCCCAGCGGACAGACGGACGGACGGACCGCUGUGCGAGCGGCCAGAGCUGCCCGGGGCCUGUGCGGCAGGAUGAUGCAGCCCGGCUGCCGCGGCCUCUCGGCAGAGGGACACUAGGCUCCCCGCACUGGGUGCAAAGUGCGACCCCGCGACCCGCCCCAGUGUGCCCUCGGUGCUUCAGCGGUUGGUGCUGCUGCUUUCACACAGUGUCCCUGGGGCCCGAGCGGUCCCCUGGCACCAUCACUCGGGGUGACACUGAGCAUGCAUCUGCAGAAGCUCAGUGCUUCCAGGACCAUUGAGGAUACUUUCGGGUCCCUUGUGCAGGCCUUGUGCUGGGACUGCCCCUUCCCCUGUGUCUCUGCGCCAGGAGAAGCAGCCAGCACAGCCCGCCGCCCCUGUCCCCCUGCCCCCCCACCGUCCCUGCCAUCCCCACAUGCCCUGUAUCCCCGUCCCCCUGCCCCCCACCCCCCUGCUGUGGAGUGGUGCGCAGCUGCGGGCACAGGAACGCAGACACCAUGGGGCACAGCCCACCGUGAGCAGCGAAGCAGGCCUCCGCCAGCCCCAGGCCCAGCCUCCUGUGGGGUCCCAGCCGCUGCCAGUGUCUGUGUGAGCCUGGGACCCAGAGGCCAUGGGGGCAGGGCCAGGGCCUGCAGAUGCGCACAGGUGCCAACAUGCGCCCCCCCAGCGGCCGGGGCACAGGGCAGCCCCACGGCCUCCCGCAGCCUCCCGCGAGCCCCCUGCCAACCCCCACGCGCGCCCCCACCCCAGGGCCUCUCACACGGGCUCAUCACUGCCUCCUAAAGGAGGGUAUUGGCUCCUCACUGCACAGCAUGAGGAACCACGUCUGGCUUGUGCUCUGCGCUUGGAUUGCGUGUGCUGGACCCAGAGGGAAGGGGACCGUGAAACAGGCCGCAGGAAGGGUGUGGCCCGGCUGGCAGGAGCCCGAGGCUUGGAUGGGGAGCAGUCACUCAGCCGCGCUGCAUGGGCGUCCCUGGCCAAACCCCUGAGGGAGAAGGGCGGGCCGGUGGGGUCUGGCCCUGGCCUCUGGCCCUGGGUUCCUGACUCCGAGCCUCUGCAACGUCCCUCCUGACGAGCAUCUCGGUGUAUGGGGCCUCGCUGUGGGUAGUCUGGGGGCUGAUUUAUGCGGGGUGGGGGGGCCGCCCGAGAUGGGCACCUGUGGGGAGGGCGGUAGUCUGCGGGCCGGCGGCCACACAGCCAGUGGGCAAGCGAGCGCCCCAAGCCCCCGGCACCAGGACAGGCAAGCUUCCCGGGUUGGCAGCAUGUGCUCAGUGUCACAGGCCAGGAUUCCGAGGGGAAGAGACCGUGGGAAGGCCCCCCACCCCGCCAGGUGCCACCCUGUCUCUCCCUAUGGUGGUUUUCUGAUUCCAUUUGCUGUAAUAAAACUGUGAUCCUAAAUGCAGCACCUUCCGGGCUUCUGUGGAUUGCUCUAGCGACUUACGAAAGCUGAGGGUGGCCCUGGGACCCCUGACCUCGCCACCGCUGUCGGAGAUGGGGAUGGUCUCCUGGGGAUGAUGCUUCCCUGGGCUGCAAUUUUCUUUUCUUUCCUUUUCUUUUCUUUUUUCUUUUCUUAAGAUUUUAUUUAUUUAUUCAUCAGAGACACAGGCAGAAGGAGAAGCAGGCUCCAUGCAGGGAGCCCAAUGUAGGACUUGAUCCUAGGUCUCCAGGAUCACACCCCAGGCCGAAGGCAGCGCUAAACCUCUGAGCCACUGGGGCUGCUCCAGGCUGCAGUUGCUAAGCCCUGUUGCCACAGGCCAGACCCGCGCUGCAAUCACAAGCCCCGGAACCCCAGGGCCCUGACAUGAGGAAGCCUCCCCGACGCCCCCCGGGCCCGGGGCCAGCUGUGCAGCCUCUGCCACCUCGUCACCUCAUGGCUGCACCCUCUGGAACUUGGUCCUCGCAGCGGGUGGCGUGGGGGCUCUCAGAGCAGACCUGGGAGUGCUUGCUUCCCCCUGCAGCUGCGCUGAGCCUCCCGGUCCCACCUGCACUUAGCGCCCAGACCCUUCACAUCGACCCUCCUCCCCCUGGGCUGACAGCCUACCUCCUCCAGUGCUGACCCCGGCCCCCCGCCCUCUGCCCUCUGCUCCCAGCACCCCCUCAGCCCCCCCAACUACGGCUCCUGUCUGCUCUCACUUGCAGAAAAACACCUGCAGAGAGAAGCUGUUCUCAGCAGCUCCUUCCCCAGGAGACCCUGUGCGUGAGCCCCCUGUGUGCAGCCCUAGUGGCGCCCCAGGCCCUGCCUCACUGCCUGCCCGCUGCACAGGCCCGGGGGUUGCCGGGGAGGGCAGCCCAGCACACGCUUGCCACAGAGCUGGGCCAGGGCAGCAGGGCAGGGAGGACAGUGGGCAGGGCGCUGAGGCCCCGAGGACUCUGGCUUCUCAUGCGGCAGGUGCUGGCAGGUGGGUGGGGGGUGGGGAGACCCGGGUGCCCAGAAACCCCACGUGAAAGGCCUGGCUGCAGCUGGACAAAGGUCCUUCCCAAGCCUCCGAGCAAACUUCUCAACUUCUCAGGUUCCCUCCUUAAGAGGGAGGGAGGUUUUAAGUACUUUUCCUGUUUCUCAGGACAAGGAGAGUGCACUUGAGCAGACCUGCCUGAAACUGGCAGCCACACCCCACAGGGGACACUUGAGCAGGAAGCAGUGGGGAUGCCACCUAGAAACUUCUGUGACCGGGAGGUGUGGACAGGCAGGGUCGCAGGACUGUACUCUGUCCCUCCAGAAGGUGGUGAGGCGGGGAGGGUGCCGGUGGGCACGGCGCCUGGAAACCACCACCGCCUCCCAAGGGCACUUCGGUGCCAGGAAGGCCGAGGGACCGGGGCUGCCCUGUGCUGUUCACACUGAGCGAGUGGCUUCUCUUGGAGCGGCCGCCUCUGCCGGGCCCUGUCACCACCCACGCCCCGAGCCUGCGCUGUUUUAGGCCUUUCCUCAUGCUCCGCUGGCCGCCUCGGCCCACCAGGACCCGCUGGCUCCACUCCACGAGCUCCACGAGGGUCUGCCUGCAUCCCGUUUCCCAUCCCCCAGGCCAGCCCACCUGCGCUCUCCCAGCCCAGCUCUCAGCCCUGCUGCUCCUGCGUGUUGCCGGGAGAGGCCCGGGCUCCCUCCCCGCUGGCCGCUGCCUGCUUGGCUCUCUGCUCCCUCACCGUCUGGGCUUCUGGGCCCAGGAAGCCAGGCUGGAAUGUCAGCUUCUCUGGGGGUCGCCCCUCUGGGUUCUUGCACCCCAGGUGACCCCAGGGCUGACGUGACAGCCUGAACCCCAGGAGGACAGGUGUGCCGUCCACCACUGUCUCCCUGGCACUUGGCAGAGACUGUGCUUCCAACCGUGUCUGUGGAGUGAGGAAUGAGUGAACGAACAAACGGCACAUUCGUUGUUUUUUUAAAAGAU